rnacentral:rRNA from 1 species
UACGGGGGGGGCAAGCGUUGUUCGGAAUUACUGGGCGUAAAGGGCUCGUAGGUGGCCAACUAAGUCAGACGUGAAAUCCCUCAGCUUAACUGGGGAACUGCGUCUGAUACUGGAUGGCUUGAGUUUGGGAGAGGGAUGUGGAAUUCCAGGUGUAGCGGUGAAAUGCGUAGAUAUCUGGAGGAACACCGGUGGCGAAGGCGGCAUCCUGGACCGGCACUGACACUGAGGAGCGAAAGCCAGGGGAGCAAACGGG